AAUUGUCUGUUGUAUUUGUGUCUGGCUACGUCCCCUGAGCCGAUAAAUAAACAACUAAGGAUAUGAGAUAGGUUACUAUUGUGCAAGCCCACCUCGCACUCCCCGAGUACUGCUUUGGGACGCUUGAAGUGGGAAGCCUGCGGUAGACUUCGAAUUUCCGCCUUGAGCCUUACUGGUUCAGGUUUUAUGCCAUCACGGUACAACGGAUUUUAA
rnacentral:other from 1 species